rnacentral:rRNA from 1 species
UACGAGGGGUGCAAGCGUUGCUCGGAAUUAUUGGGCGUAAAGGGUAGGUAGGUGGUAAUAAAAGUCUGGGGUGAAAUCCCUGAGCUCAACUCAGGACGUGCCUUGGAAACUUUAUUACUAGAGUGCUGGAGAGGUCCGCAGAAUUCCCGGUGUAGCGGUGAAAUGCGUAGAGAUCGGGAGGAAUACCAGAGGCGAAGGCGGCGGACUGGACAGCAACUGACACUGAGGAACGAAAGCCAGGGGAGCAAACGGG